AUGUCAGGCAAGGACGAGCAGCAGGAGUAAACUAUCACUGAAGACCUGGCCAUGACCAAGUAUAAGAUGAGGGGUGACAUCGCCAACUGGGUACUUCAAGCUUUGGUGGAAGCAUCCAGCUCAGGUGUGUCAGUAUUGAGCCUGUGUGAGAAACGUGAUGCCAUGAUUAUGGAAGAGACAGGAAAAAUCUUCAAGAAAGAGAAGGAAAUGGAGAAAGGUAUUGCCUUUCCAGCUAGCAUUUAAGUAAAUAACUGUGCCAAUUCUCCCCUUUGAAGAGUGACCAGGAUUAUAUUCUCAAGGAAGGUGACUUGGUAAAAAUUGACCUUGGUGUUCAUGUGGAUGAUUUCAUUGCUAAUGUGGCUCACACUUUUGUCAUUGGUGUGUCUCAGGGAACCAAAGUAACAGGGAGGAAAGCAGAUGUCAUUAAAGCAGAUGUCAUUAAGGCAGCUCACCUAUGUGCUGAAGCUGCCCUACGUUUAGUCAUACCUGGAAACCAGAACACACAAGUGACAGAAGCCUGGAACAAAGUUGCCCAUUCAUUUAAUUGCACACCAAUAGAAGGUAUGCUGUCACAUCAGUUGAAGCAGCAUGUCAUCAACGGAGAGAAGACCAUCAUCCAGAAUCCCACAGACCAGCAGAAGAAGGACCAUGAAAAGACUGAAUUUGAGGUACAUGAAGUAUAUGUUGUGGAUGUUCUUGUCAGCUCAGGAGAGAGCAAGACUAAGGAUGCAGGACAGAGAACUGCCAUUUACAAAUGAGACCCCUCCAAACAGUAUGACCUGAAAAUGAAAACUUCACGGGCCUUUUUCAGUGAGGUGGAAAGGUGUUUUGAUGCUAUGCCAUUUACUUUAAGAGCAUUUGAAGAUGAGAAGAAGGCUUGGAUGGGUGUGGUGGAAUGUGCUAAACAUGAGCUGCUUCAACCAUUUAAUGUUCUCUAUGAGAAGGAUGGUGAAUUUGUUGCUCAGUUUAAAUUUAUAGUUCUACUCAGGCCCAAUGGCCCCAUGUGGAUAACAAGUGGUCCCUUUAAGCCCAACCUCUACAAGUCAGAGAUAGAGGUCCAGGAUGCAGAACUAAAGGCCCUCCUUCAGAGUUCUGCAAGUCAGAAAACCCAAAAAACAGUGGAAAAAGGAGGCCACCAAGAUUGCAGAGAAUGCCACCAGUGGGGAAACACUAGAAGAGAAUGGAGCUGAGGACUGAGAUGGGUCUUGUAUCCCCAGAUUGCUGCUCUUGCCUCAUCCCUUCCCACUACACCUAGGCUCUGUGAAGUGCAAUCUGACAUCUCCACCCAGGACCACCAGCAGAGUGGGGUCUCCUUGCCCCCCCAGCCCCCAGCCCACUCUCUCCACACCAACAACCAGCUCUACUGACUCUGGUCUUGGGAGGCCAGGCUUCCCAGCCACCUAACACUACUUUAAAUAGAAAAAAGGAAAUUGAAUAAUAAAAUCAGGAGUCAAA